GCUUAUCUGCUUAUGAGUGGCACAUGCUAC
rnacentral:piRNA from 1 species